GAAUUGAACUCAGGACCUCUGGAAGAGC
rnacentral:piRNA from 2 species